CGACAGGCUUAACACAUGCAAGUCGAGGGGCAGCACAGGUAGCAAUACCGGGUGGCGACCGGCGCACGGGUGAGUAACGCGUAUGCAACUUACCUAUCAGAGGGGGAUAACCCGGCGAAAGUCGGACUAAUACCGCAUGAAGCAGGGGCCCGCAUGGGGAUAUUUGCUAAAGAUUCAUCGCUGAUAGAUAGGCAUGCGUUCCAUUAGGCAGUUGGCGGGGUAACGGCCCACCAAACCGACGAUGGAUAGGGGUUCUGAGAGGAAGGUCCCCCACAUUGGUACUGAGACACGGACCAAACUCCUACGGGAGGCAGCAGUGAGGAAUAUUGGUCAAUGGCCGAGAGGCUGAACCAGCCAAGUCGCGUGAGGGAUGAAGGUUCUAUGGAUCGUAAACCUCUUUUAUAAGGGAAUAAAGUGCGGGACGUGUCCCGUUUUGUAUGUACCUUAUGAAUAAGGAUCGGCUAACUCCGUGCCAGCAGCCGCGGUAAUACGGAGGAUCCGAGCGUUAUCCGGAUUUAUUGGGUUUAAAGGGUGCGUAGGCGGCCUUUUAAGUCAGCGGUGAAAGUCUGUGGCUCAACCAUAGAAUUGCCGUUGAAACUGGGGGGCUUGAGUAUGUUUGAGGCAGGCGGAAUGCGUGGUGUAGCGGUGAAAUGCAUAGAUAUCACGCAGAACCCCGAUUGCGAAGGCAGCCUGCCAAGCCAUUACUGACGCUGAUGCACGAAAGCGUGGGGAUCAAACAGGAUUAGAUACCCUGGUAGUCCACGCAGUAAACGAUGAUCACUAGCUGUUUGCGAUACACUGUAAGCGGCACAGCGAAAGCGUUAAGUGAUCCACCUGGGGAGUACGCCGGCAACGGUGAAACUCAAAGGAAUUGACGGGGGCCCGCACAAGCGGAGGAACAUGUGGUUUAAUUCGAUGAUACGCGAGGAACCUUACCCGGGUUUGAACGCAUUCGGACCGAGGUGGAAACACCUUUUCUAGCAAUAGCCGUUUGCGAGGUGCUGCAUGGUUGUCGUCAGCUCGUGCCGUGAGGUGUCGGCUUAAGUGCCAUAACGAGCGCAACCCUUGCCACUAGUUACUAACAGGUAAAGCUGAGGACUCUGGUGGGACUGCCAGCGUAAGCUGCGAGGAAGGCGGGGAUGACGUCAAAUCAGCACGGCCCUUACAUCCGGGGCGACACACGUGUUACAAUGGCGUGGACAAAGGGAAGCCACCUGGCGACAGGGAGCGAAUCCCCAAACCACGUCUCAGUUCGGAUCGGAGUCUGCAACCCGACUCCGUGAAGCUGGAUUCGCUAGUAAUCGCGCAUCAGCCAUGGCGCGGUGAAUACGUUCCCGGGCCUUGUACACACCGCCCGUCAAGCCAUGGGAGCCGGGGGUACCUGAAGUCCGUAACCGCGAGGAUCGGCCUAGGGUAAAACUGGUGACUGGG
rnacentral:rRNA from 1 species